UGCAGAAGUGAGUGGUGAAAUGAA
rnacentral:siRNA from 1 species